rnacentral:piRNA from 1 species
CAGGACGAAACCUUGGAAGCACACAGU